rnacentral:rRNA from 1 species
UGGGGAAUAUUGCACAAUGGGCGCAAGCCUGAUGCAGCCAUGCCGCGUGUAUGAAGAAGGCCUUCGGGUUGUAAAGUACUUUCAGUCGGGAGGAAGGUGGUAAGGUUAAUAACCUUGGCAAUUGACGUUACCGACAGAAGAAGCACCGGCUAACUCCGUGCCAGCAGCCGCGGUAAUACGGAGGGUGCAAGCGUUAAUCGGAAUUACUGGGCGUAAAGCGCACGCAGGCGGUUUGUUAAGUCAGAUGUGAAAUCCCCGGGCUUAACCCGGGAAUUGCAUCUGAUACUGGUCAGCUAGAGGCUUGUAGAGGGGGGUAGAAUUCCAUGUGUAGCGGUGAAAUGCGUAGAGAUGUGGAGGAAUACCGGUGGCGAAGGCGGCCCCCUGGACAAAGACUGACGCUCAGGUGGGAAAGAGUGGGGAGCAAACAGG